rnacentral:rRNA from 1 species
UACGUAGGUGGCAAGCGUUGUCCGGAAUUACUGGGCGUAAAGGGUGCGUAGGCGGGUAUUAAAGUCAGGUGUGAAAUCCUCCGGCUUAACUGGAGGGCUGCACUUGAAACUUAAUAUCUUGAGUGGGGUAGAGGUAAGUGGAAUUCCCGGUGUAGAGGUAAAAUUCGUAGAUAUCGGGAGGAACACCAGUGGCGAAGGCGACUUACUGGGCCCUAACUGACGCUGAGGCACGAAAGCAUGGGGAGCAAACAGG